rnacentral:rRNA from 1 species
UACGAAGGGGGCUAGCGUUGCUCGGAAUUACUGGGCGUAAAGGGCGCGUAGGCGGACAGUUAAGUCAGAGGUGAAAUCCCAGGGCUCAACCCUGGAAUUGCCUUUGAUACUGGCUGUCUUGAGUAUGGGAGAGGUAAGCGGAACUCCGAGUGUAGAGGUGAAAUUCGUAGAUAUUCGGAAGAACACCAGUGGCGAAGGCGGCUUACUGGCCCAUUACUGACGCUGAGGCGCGAAAGCGUGGGGAG